rnacentral:lncRNA from 1 species
CAGACUCCUUCCCCACCUUCUCUGCCCUCCCCCUUUGCUCACUCGUGUGCUGUGCAUCCUGCUCCGAUCUCCCCCCAACCCCGCCGACCCCCAGAGGGGAAAUGCGAGGGCACAUCAAGUGGCAAAAAACCAGAUUUAUAGGAGGAAAGAGGCGCAUUGUUCAAAAUGGAGAUUGCAUUGUUGCAGUUGGCGGGCCACACUCGCUCUCUCUUCCCGCCUCCCGCCAACCUCCUCUUUUUCCUCCUCAGAAUUUGUACCAGUGUAGUGUCUCCACCGGGCAAGAUUGAAACUUGGGCAAACACAUAUCCAUUGCUUUCAUUUUUUCCCCUUGUUUUGGUAGUUUUCUGGAAUGAAAGAAGCCUCUUGUUUUGCAAACCUCUUUUCAUUUCUAAUGUGGUUCCUUUCGGAUUUUUAUUAUAUAUCUGUUCCUUAAAAGGGAAUUAAGGAUUUGGACAGAUUGUGUGCCACAAUCUGUUUUCACACCCCUAGCUGUGGUUUUAAAAUUAUGUUAAGGAAACGGAUCAUUUGGGUUAGUAGGGGAACCUUAUCUGGUCUUGUGUGUUUGUUUUUAUUCUUCGAGUGCUAACGGGCCCGUGCAACAGUUUCUGGUAAAUGGCUGAUUAAAAAGCAAAGCAGAAAGCCAAACAAGACCCAACGAAAUUUGGUAAUUCAUCUGAUUCAAAAUUGUUUUGGUUAAAUCAAAAAUUUACAAGACCGCAGGAACACGCGUCUUAACUCAUUUGAUCGCUUUGCCUUGCUUGGGAAAUGCAGGUUCGUGUCACCUGUUGCAGAAGAUGUGUAGUUGAUCAUCUAGGCAUAAGUGCCUAAGAUGAACUUUUGGACCAACUUCUAAGUCACACAGCGUCAGUAUCAGAUUUAUUACACAACGACUUAUUCUUUUCACUCUAUUUCUGAGGAAAAAGCCCUCCCGAAAUCCGUAAUGAAUUUCUCCAUGGUAACCCCUCUUCUGUUUACACACAGAAAAGUUUCUCUAGGCUGGUGCUGAGAUGCAUUUUGUUAACCGCCCCGCCCCGCCCCGCCCCGCCCAAAGGCUGCUUUGUAUUAAAUACGUAGUUGCAGUGUACUAAAUUGUGAAAUUAACAUAACCGAAGCAACAACCGGCAAGACUUGUCCUUUAUAAUUUUGCAAAUCUAAAUUAAUUAAAUUAGAAUCUGGUUUUAAAAUCAUUUUUAAAAUAAAGUUUAU